UGGGGAAUUUUGGACAAUGGGCGCAAGCCUGAUCCAGCCAUGCCGCGUGCAGGAUGAAGGCCCUCGGGUUGUAAACUGCUUUUGUACGGAACGAAAAGCCUCUUUCUAAUAAAGAGGGGUGAUGACGGUACCGUAAGAAUAAGCACCGGCUAACUACGUGCCAGCAGCCGCGGUAAUACGUAGGGUGCGCGCGUUAAUCGGAAUUACUGGGCGUAAAGCGUGCGCAGGCGGUCUUGCAAGACAGUGGUGAAAUCCCCGGGCUCAACCGGGGAACUGCCAUUGUGACUGCAAGGCUGGAGUACGGCAGAGGGGGAUGGAAUUCCGCGUGUAGCAGUGAAAUGCGUAGAUAUGCGGAGGAACACCGAUGGCGAAGGCAGUCCCCUGGGCCUGUACUGACGCUCAUGCACGAAAGCGUGGGGAGCAAACA
rnacentral:rRNA from 1 species